CCUACGGGAGGCAGCAGUGGGGAAUAUUGGACAAUGGGGGGAACCCUGAUCCAGCGACGCCGCGUGAGUGAAGAAGUAUUUCGGUAUGUAAAGCUCUAUCAGCAGGGAAGAAAGGAAUGACGGUACCUGACUAAGAAGCCCCGGCUAACUACGUGCCAGCAGCCGCGGUAAUACGUAGGGGGCAAGCGUUAUCCGGAUUUACUGGGUGUAAAGGGAGCGUAGACGGUUACGCAAGUCUGGAGUGCAAGUCGGGGGCCCA
rnacentral:rRNA from 1 species